UUAAUCCACGAAAGCUUAUGCCCAAAUAAAUCUGUUAGUCUGUAAGGUGCCACAAGUACUUCUGUUCUUUUUGCGGAUACAGACUAACACAGCUGCUACUCUGAAACCUGCCAAAAGUAUGCCGCAAUAAUCCCAUAGGUUGACAUUCUUUGUCCUCUGGACAGUCAAGUUUUCCCACAAAGGGCCAGAGUGGCCACAUUUUGGGAGGGUGCUACGAAGGCUGGAAUAUGGGCAGCUGGACUCCAGCCCGCACAGGUUAGGACCCAGGGCUCAACAAUUCCUAGCCUGGGGUUAUAAAUCAGUACAGACCCUCAAGCCCUAGGUUAACAAACCAAGGUCUGACACCUCAAGUUCUACCAACCCUGGGCUUACACUGCAGUGCAGACAGACUCCUGGAGAGGGGAGACAAGUCACAGGCUAAACUGGCAGGUCAAACAGUAGCGAAACAGAAGAUAAAUCUUAUCUUUCAAGCAUUCUAACAGGCACCAACCGAAACACAGGACAGAGUUUCCUCAAUUACUUAAAAACAACCAAAUUCUCUUUAUAGUCAGCUCUUGGCAUUUUCUUCCUAAAAUUGUGCAUCCACCAUCACAAUCUCCUGCCUAUACUAACUCUUUCCCAGACUUCUAAUUCAGUGCUUUAUCUGUAAUCUAUUUCGGGUUUCUGCUGCUGCCCAUCACUAUAGUAUUAAUGUGUUCUAGAUAAGAUAUCCAUAGUGGAAUCCCUCGUGGUUCUGACUUGCCUCUCUUGUUGGGAUAAAAAGCCUGUGGGGGAUAUUUUCAUUUGUUGGCCGAUUUUUCUCAGGGAUAUUUUUACUUGGCGGGGGUGGGGUGGAGAGUGUGUGGGGAAGGGGCCAUAUUUUAGUUAGUUGCGGGUGUUCUGUCUUUCUAGCUGUGGUGGAAAGACUUUUUCAAAGAAGCCUCAGAUUAAAUAAUUAGCUGUAACUGAGCAAGCUACAAUUCAGUAGCUGCUAGUCAGGUUGUACUUGGUAAAUCAUUCCCUCUCUAGGCCCAGCCACUGUUUCUCCACUUCCGGUAACAGGGAGAAAAAAUUCAAAAAGAUUUCCUUUUGUCAGGAGACAGUCUUUGCUCCAAGUUGUAUUUAAGCUGACCCUUAAGCAAGGAAAGGAAAAGUUUCCAUUCAGCUUCUGGUGAGAAGCAAUGUAAUUCCUAAUUCAUUUCAGGCACAAGUAGUGCUGGUUGCAAAAUAAGACUUUCUGCAGAUUUCUUCCCCCAACCAGCUCUACUCAUGAGUAAGAAAGAGAAGUUGUCUGAACUGGUUCUUUGCUUUUUCAAAUGUUGCCCACUGGAACUACCAUAAAUAACUGGAAAUAUUGCAUUGCUACAAGUGGUAUGCAUACAUUUCACUAUACUGUGCAUUUUUUGAAAUAUUUCAAUCAAACUGAAGGUUCCUGAAUAACUAUGCAAUUGGUUAAAAUCAUCAUAUCAUAAUUCACCACAGCUCUGCUGCAUAAAGAGGUUUGGGGGGAGGGGGAAGGGGAGAGGGAAAAGCUUGC